rnacentral:misc_RNA from 1 species
GAAAUGCGAUACGCAAUGCGAAUUGCAGAAUUCCGCGAGUCAUCAGAUCUUUGAACGCAACUGGCGCUGGAGGGAUAUCCUUCCAGCAUGCUUGUUUCAGUGUCUAGAAACAUCAUAUAUCUUAAUGUGAUUGAUAGCAAUAUCUCUCAUGAAAUAUGUAAAUGUGGAUCUUUUGAUCCAACGAAGUAGUCGCAUUUUAAUAUGUGAUCUCGUUGGUAUAUUCAAAUUAUCCGUAAACAUUUAGUUUUUUACAAAAACUACUCUUCAAUAUGCAUCUGAAAUCAAGCAAGGUUACCCGCUGAACUUAA